AAGAAAGUAAGCAAGGGCGCAUGGAGGAUGCCUAGGCUCUCAGAGGCGAAGAAAGACGUGAUAAGCUGCGAAAAGCUGCGGGGAGGCGCAAAUAGCCAUUAAUCCGCAGAUGUCUGAAUGGGGCAACCCACUUGGUUGAAGACCAAGUAUCCUGAUUUAUCAGGAGGCAAACCCACUGAACUGAAACAUCUAAGUAAGUGGAGGAAGAGAAAACAAGAGUGAUUCCCUAAGUAGUGGCGAGCGAACAGGGACCAGCCCAAACCGGUGUUGUUUAGGCAAUGCGGGGUAGUAGGACUACCAUCACUGUUUAUAAAUACGAAAUGGAAGCAUCUGGAAAGUUGCAUCAUAGAGGGUGAUAAUCCCGUACAUGUAAGUAUGAUAAACAAGGUAGUAUCCUGAGUAGCGCGGGACACGAGAAAUCUUGCGUGAAUCAGCCGGGACCAUCCGGUAAGGCUAAAUACUCCUGAGAGACCAAUAGUGAACCAGUACCGUGAGGGAAAGGUGAAAAGCACCCCGAACAGGGGAGUGAAAAAGUACCUGAAACCGUGCGCCUACAAUCGGUCGGAGCCACUUCGUGUGGUGACGGCGUGCCUUUUGCAUAAUGAGCCUACGAGUUAUUCCUUACCAGCAAGGUUAAGUGGUAUUAGCCACGGAGCCGAAGCGAAAGCGAGUCUUAAUAGGGCGCCAAAGUUGGUAGGGAUAGACGCGAAACCUUGUGAUCUACCCAUGGUCAGGUUGAAGCUGUGGUAACACUCAGUGGAGGACCGAACCAGUAAACGUUGAAAAGUUUUUGGAUGAACUGUGGGUAGGGGUGAAAGGCCAAUCAAACUGGGAAAUAGCUCGUACUCCCCGAAAUGCAUUUAGGUGCAGCCUUAUUAAAGUUUUACAGAGGUAGAGCUACUGAUAGGACGCGAGGGCUUCACCGCCUAUCAACUCCUGACAAACUCCGAAUGCUGUAAAAUGAUUAAUAGGAGUGAGGGCAUGGGUGCUAAGGUCCAUGUCCGAGAGGGAAAGAACCCAGACCAUCAGCUAAGGUCCCCAAAUGUAUGCUAAGUUGAACAUAACGCGGUAUGGUUGCACAGACAGCUAGGAUGUUGGCUUGGAAGCAGCCAUUCAUUUAAAGAGUGCGUAACAGCUCACUAGUCGAGCGACCGUGCAUGGAUAAUAAUCGGGCAUAAGCAUACUACCGAAGCUAUGGAUUGUUAAUUUAUUAACAGUGGUAGGGGAGCAUUCCAAUCCGCGCCGAAGCAGUAUCGUGAGGUAUUGUGGAGCGUUUGGAAAAGCAAAUGUAGGCAUAAGUAACGAUAAUGAGAGUGAGAAACUCUCACGCCGAAAGACCAAGGUUUCCUGAUCAACGCUAAUCGGAUCAGGGUUAGUCGGGACCUAACGCGAACCCGAAAGGGGUAGUGGAUGGCAAACAGGUUAAUAUUCCUGUACCCGUUAUACA
rnacentral:ncRNA from 1 species